UAUGUUUUGGCUUUCUUUCAAAGAUUUGAAGAUGUAUUUUGAAAAACAGAAAUUCAGGAACCGAUUUGGUAAGUGUUUUCAAGUAGUCCUUCACUUUGUAGACGCAAUUUGAAAACCUUCUCUUCAAAAAACUCUUUGUUCAUGCAGACAGGAAUUCGCGAAGCAUGUUUUGAAUCGCAAAUAUACAGUGUUCCGGUGUAGUUAGUGUUCAAAUUCUGUCAAUAGUAAACUGUUUUCAGUUGUAUAACCACCUGAAAAAGAUCUUCGACAAAGGGUCUUCACUUUCACCGAAACAGCCAUCUAUAAAAACAAUUCAAUAGCUGUACAUGCAAACAGUCGUACACGUUUUCCUUGACUUAAGUUUCUUCGUGAGUUUUGUUUUGCUCGUGAGUCGUGUAUCCAGCCAACACGAUUCGUUCACGCAACGACCGGAGACAUGCACGUGUAUAUUUCGUUGUAUAAAAGCUGGUUUAAUAUACCAGACAAAACGAAAUACGUACAGUAUAUAUAAGCCAAAUAGGCCAUCGCCAUCUUGAAUCUAUUGUUUUCACCAUUGUGCUUGCAUCCCCUCCAAAUUUACCUACCAUUCUUUUGUGUUUCACAUUAUGGCGUCGUUAACCUUGGAAGGGUCUAUUCGGGGUUUUUGUGUCCGGAUAAAUUGCAGGGGCCAAUUGUUCAAAGGUGGGUUAGCGCUAACCCUGGGUUAAAAUUUAACCUGUUGUUUUAGUUUGUGUAUUUCUGCACGUCUGUAUUUAUUUCAAAUUUUCAGGGAAGUAAACUCCUAUCGAUUCAGACAAGAUCUCUGAAGAAACAUUUUAGACAAGCUGUCACGAAGUUUGCUUUGAAUUUUAGGUUAACGUAGGGUUAAGCUAAUCCACCUUUGAACAACUGGCCCCAGAUGAAUUAUAACAUGUAUAUAGCUGAAAGUAUUAGAAUGUGCAUGGCAAAGUACAAUUUAGUUGUUUAAUAAUUUGUGUUUCACUUAUACAGGGUGUCCCAAAACCCCCCAAAACUAUUGAAAUAACGUAUUGUUAGAAUUUGAAUGUCUCAAACUCUGCUGAACCCACACUAGUGUAUAAAAGCUUGAAUAAAUAAAUUGUAUGCACAAAGAAACUGUUUAAGAAGCUGCUUUGAAUUCCCAAGAGCAGAAAAUCGUGCGCUUUACAAAGGUAUUUGAAUUUCUUAAUAUAAGUCAAUAUUUAUAAUAUAUGCACCCUGUCAGUAUUUUACGCAUCUUUGCGUUCAGCCUAGCGCCAGGGCAUUCAAAUUCUAACAAUACGUUAUUUCAGUAGUUUUGGGUUUUUUUGGGGGGACACCCUGUAUAACCACAAUAGAACUGUCAUUAAAUAUUUUUUGUAUAGCAUAUAUCUUCUGUGUAAAGCAAAGUGGAGGAAGAUACACUUAAAGAAUAUAUUUUUUUCAUUUAAAGCGCAUCAAUCCUGCGGAAACUAAUCGUUCUUUGAGGAACCUUUGCAUAUUCACUAAUGAGGAUUGAAUGGUUGAAUAUUUUGACAUGCAUGUAUGUACAGUGUGUAUUUUGACAUGCAUGUAUGUACGAAACUCAAAGAAAUAACAAUUAGAAAAUUUAAAAGUUUUUAAGAGUUUUGUCCCAUGAGUACAAGACCUUGUGUUAUUACCCAACCAAUAAUUCAAAGCAAUUAGACCUGUCAAAUGGACCUUUCCCCCUAUAACUAAAAUUUUGAUCUAGACUCUUUCACAGCUUGAAAGAGCAUCACAAAAUUAGUAAUAUUCCAAAGUUUUGUUGCAAAAU
rnacentral:lncRNA from 1 species